rnacentral:rRNA from 1 species
CCCUUAGAUGUUCUGGGCCGCACGCGCGCUACACUGACGGAGCCAACGAGUACUUUCCUUGUCCGGAAGGACUGGGUAAUCUUGUGAAACUUCGUCGUGCUGGGGAUAGAGCAUUGCAAUUAUUGCUCUUCAACGAGGAAUUCCUAGUAAACGCAAGUCAUCAGCUUGCAUUGAUUACGUCCCUGCCCUUUGUACACACCGCCCGUCGCACCUACCGAUUGAAUGGUCCGGUGAAAUCUUGGGAUUUUGUUUUGUUUGCAUUUAUUUGUAUCGAGACGAGAGAACUUGAGUAAACCUUACCAUUUAGAGGAAGGUGAAGUCGUAACA